rnacentral:rRNA from 1 species
GAUGAACGCUGGCGGCGUGCCUAAUACAUGCAAGUCGAGCGAACGGACGAGAAGCUUGCUUCUCCGAUGUUAGCGGCGGACGGGUGAGUAACACGGGGAUAACCUACCUAUAAGACUGGGAUAAAUUCGGGAAACCGGAGCUAAUACCGGAUAAUUUUUUGAACCGCAUGGUUCAAAAGUGAAAUACGGUCUUUCUGUCACUUAUAGAUAGAUCCGCGCUGCAUUAGCUAGUUGGUAAGGUAACGGCUUACCAAGUCAACGAUGCAUAGCCGACCGCAGAGGGUUACCCGCAAAACUGGAGUAUAGAGAAUGUCCGUACUCCGACGGUGGGAACCAGUACGGAAUAUUCCGGAAGGGGCUAAAGCCUGACGGAGCAAAGCCGCGUAAGUGAUGAGGGUCAUGGGAUUGUAAAGUUCUGUUAUUUUGAAAGACCAUAUUUGUAAGUAACUGGGAUCAUCUUGACGGUACCUAAUCAGAAAGCCACGGCUAACUACGUG